UCUGUCAGUUGUUUCCGAGACCCAGACCCUACCUUCUUGGUUCAUUGUCAGUUGAAUCAUGAGCCAUGAGGUUCUGAGAGAAAGAGUCGCCAUUUUUAGACCUUUUUAUUUUUUGAGGUUUUGAAUUGUGAUGUUGGCUUAAUUAGCUGGAUUGCUACUUGUGACUUGUGAGGCAUUUCUUAGAAUGUGGACAGCAUGUGGUGGGUCUUAGUUGGUUCGGGUUGGCGGUUCGUGAGCUUGCUAUUAUUCUUGACGAAUUUUGAUGCUGAAAGACUUGGAAUCCAUGCUGUCGACCACGUUGAGAAGCUGAGUAACAUUCUGCUUUUACAAUGGCACCUCUUAAUAAAAGGAACUUGAGCCAUCCAAUCUAGGACUUCCAUCAAAUCGUGCAGGCUGCUUGGAAGUCGCAUUUACCUUUGUUGUGAACACCAUGAACACAUACACUAUUUGAAGUUUUAAUAUUUGGGGAUUUCGUCAAGUCAACAGCUAUUUCCUUCAGGGUUGUGUUCUGUUAUGGAUUAUUUAAAGGGGAGUUUGUUGCAUUCAAGAAAGGCAGAUUCUGAAAGAAGUUUGGUUUAUUUGUUCUACUGUAGAGUAUCCUUUAAAGUUUAAAUGAAUUUGUAUUUAAAUGUUAAAUGAGUCA
rnacentral:lncRNA from 1 species